rnacentral:rRNA from 1 species
AUGUUAGAUGGUCUGGAUGACAUGGAUGGCGCCGAGGAUGUCCCUUUUGAUGAGCUCAUAGGCAUGCAAGGCUUAGUAUUUCACUUGGUUGAGAAUGCAAUUACAAUAUGUAUUACAUACAAGUCUGAUAGAUUCAAGAGAAUGAAGAGUGAAGAAUACUAUACUAUAAAUACGUCAACUACAGAUAACCCUCCCAACUACAAUGUUGCACCUGACAACCUCCUACUCGACGAGGCCAAGCUAUCUGCAAGGGACCAUGCUGCUGGACGUUCCUAA